rnacentral:tRNA from 1 species
GGCCUGUUAGCUCAGCUGGUUAGAGCCUGAUGCUAAUAACGCCAAGGUUGUGGGUUCGAUCCCCACAUGGGCCA